rnacentral:rRNA from 1 species
CCCUUAGAUGUUCUGGGCCGCACGCGCGCUACACUGAUGCAUGCAACGAGUUCUAUCCUUGGCCGGAAGGCCUGGGUAAUCUGUGAACGUGCAUCGUGAUAGGGAUAGAUUAUUGCAAUUAUUAAUCUUGAACGAGGAAUUCCUAGUAAACGCAAGUCAUCAGCUUGCAUUGAUUACGUCCCUGCCCUUUGUACACGCCGCCCGUCGCACCUACCGAUCGAAGGUAAUGAUGAGCCCUCAGGAUUGUGGCCUCGUCGCGUCAGCGUCUUGGCUGCGAGAAUCUGUGCAAAUCCCUACCUUUAGAGGAAGGUGAAGUCGUAACA